UACAGAGGGGGCAAGCGUUAUUCGGAAUUAUUGGGCGUAAAGGGCGCGUAGGCGGCUUUGCAAGUGACGGGUGAAAGCCCUCGGCUUAACCGAGGAACUGCCUGUCAGACUGUGAGGCUUGAGACCGGGAGAGGUGAGUGGAAUUCCCAGUGUAGCGGUGAAAUGCGUAGAUAUUGGGAGGAACACCAGUGGCGAAGGCGGCUCACUGGACCGGAACUGACGCUGAGGCGCGAAAGCGUGGGGAGCGAUCCGG
rnacentral:rRNA from 1 species